rnacentral:rRNA from 1 species
GGACUACCAGGGUAUCUAAUCCUGUUUGCUCCCCACGCUUUCGCAUCUGAGUAUCAGUGUCUGUCCAGGGGGCCGCCUUCGCCACUGGUAUUCCUUCAGAUCUCUACGCAUUUCACCGCUACACCUGAAAUUCUACCCCCCUCUACAGCACUCUAGUUCACCAGUUUCAAAUGCGGUUCCGAGGUUGAGCCCCGGGCUUUCACAUCUGACUUAAUGAAACACCUGCAUGCGCUUUACGCCCAGUAAUUCCGAUUAACGCUCGCACCCUCCGUAUUACCGCGGCUGCUGGC